GCAUGUGUUGUUGUAGCCUCUGUUAUUGUUAUUGGUGAGAGGUUAGCAUGUUUUGUUGUAGCCUCUGUUAUUGGUAAAUUGCUAAAUCUGAUUCCUCACUGUCUGUCUUCUGACUGAUACUACUUUUAAACUGGUCUGGUCAGUCUACUAUAAUAUUUGUACUAUACAUUUUUCUAUCUGCAGGCAAUACUUUGAUAAUUUGUCAUUUCUAAUAAUGAUACAUUCAUUUAUGAAUAGAUAUGGAAGGUUUCAGGACACUGAUGUAUCUGAAUAUGUUGAAAAAAUAUACUGCCACUAUUUUCACCACCAAAGAAUAGCAGUGUGAUUUAAUAUGAUUUGACUCUUUGCAGGCUGUCAGGCUGUCUAGUCACAGAGGAAGGCUGUGCUUCUCUGGUCCCAGCUCUGAGGUCAAACCCUCACACCUAAGAGAGCUGGACCUGAGCUACAAUCACCCGGGAGACUCAGGGUCAGACUGCUCUCUGCUGGACUGGAGGAUCCACACUGCAGACUGGAGAAACUCAAUGUGGAACAUGGUGGAGAGAACAGAAUGAAACCUGGGCUUAGAAAAUAUGUCUGUGAUCUCACACUGGACCUAAACACAGUAAACAGACUCCUCUCUCUGUCUGAGGAGAACAGAAAGGUGACACGUAGGAGAGAGGAGCAGCCGUAUCCUGAUCACCCAGAGAGAUUUGAGGGCUGUGGACAGGUGUUGUGUAGAGAGGGUCUGACUGGGCGCUGUUACUGGGAGGUAGAGUGGAGUGGGAGAGAGGCUGUUAUAGGAGUGACAUAUAAAGGAAUCAGCAGGAGAGGAGGGGUUAAUGAUUGUGGUGAGGUUAAGGACUGUUGGCUUGGACACAAUGACAAGUCCUGGAGUCUGUUCUGCUCUGUCAACAGUUACAUUGCCAGGCACAAUAAUAAUCCCACUACCAUAGACGUCCCCUCCUCCAGCUCCCACAGAGUAGGAGUGUAUCUGGACUGGCCAGCCGGCACUCUGUCCUUCUAUAGAGCCUCCUCUGACACACUGACCCACCUGAUCACAUUCACCUCCACAUUCACUGAGCCCCUCUAUCCAGGGUUUAGGGUUUGUUCUGACUCCUCAGUGUCCCUAAAAUAACAUGACACACACACACACACACAAUAAUAACCUGUAAAUAAUACACACACUGGACUCACACACACACACACACACUGGAUACACACACACACUGGACUGACACACACAGACACACACUGAAUACACA